rnacentral:lncRNA from 10 species
AGAAAAAGGACUUCAGGUCCCCCUGCUUCUGGUAGGCAGCUGCAGAAGGUGAAGAUGCAGCACUGAGGAGGCAGGAGGAGGGCUGACCACCAGCUCCCGGCAUGUCCCCAGCACCAAGUGGCCCAGAGAGAGCCCAGGAUGCGCACGCAGGUGGAUGCUCCGCGUGCUGCCCUAGCGGGUGCCUCAGGACCCUUUGACAUUUCAGUACCAGAAAUCAAAUGUCGCUUCAGAAGCCCGGCCCUCCAAAGAUGUCACAAUCCAACCUCCCACACGCACAGUGUGUCAUCACACAACCCUCC